ACAUGCCUACAACAUAGUACUAAUGCAUCGGAUCCCAUUAGAACUCCGCAAUUAAGCAUGCUCAGGCUAGAGUAGCAUUGGGAUGGGUGACAACCUGAGAAGUCCUAGUGUUUUACAUGCC
rfam:Picea glauca, whole genome shotgun sequence.